rnacentral:rRNA from 1 species
CCUACGGGCGGCAGCAGUGGGGAAUAUUGGACAAUGGGCGAAAGCCUGAUCCAGCCAUGCCGCGUGUGUGAAGAAGGCCUUCGGGUUGUAAAGCACUUUCAGUGGGGAAGAAAGCCUUGGGGCUAAUACCCUCGAGGAAGGACAUCACCCACAGAAGAAGCACCGGCUAACUCCGUGCCAGCAGCCGCGGUAAUACGGAGGGUGCGAGCGUUAAUCGGAAUUACUGGGCGUAAAGCGCGCGUAGGCGGUCUGAUAAGCCGGUUGUGAAAGCCCCGGGCUCAACCUGGGAACGGCAUCCGGAACUGUCAGGCUAGAGUGCAGGAGAGGAAGGUAGAAUUCCCGGUGUAGCGGUGAAAUGCGUAGAGAUCAGGAGGAAUACCAGUGGCGAAGGCGGCCUUCUGGACUGACACUGACGCUGAGGUGCGAAAGCGUGGGUAGCAAACAGGAUUAGAUACCCGUGUAGUC